AGUGAACGCUGGCGGUAGGCCUAACACAUGCAAGUCGAACGGCAGCACAGGAGAGCUUGCUCUCUAGGUGGCGAGUGGCGGACGGGCGAGGAAUACAUCGGAAUCUGCCCAGUCGUGGGGGAUAACGUAGGGAAACUUACGCUAAUACCGCAUACGACCUUCGGGUGAAAGAGGGGGAUCGCAAGACCUCUCGCGAUUGGAUGAGCCGAUGUCGGAUUAGCUAGUUAGCGGGGUAAUGGCCCACCAAGGCGACGAUCCGUAGCUGGUCUGAGAGGAUGAUCAGCCACACUGGGACUGAGACACGGUCCAGACUCCUACGGGAGGCAGCAGUGGGGAAUAUUGGACAAUGGGCGCAAGCCUGAUCCAGCCAUACCGCGUGGGUGAAGAAGGCCUUCGGGUUGUAAAGCCCUUUUGUUGGGAAAGAAAUCUUUCAGGCUAAUACCCUGGGAGGAUGACGGUACCCAAAGAAUAAGCACCGGCUAACUUCGUG
rnacentral:rRNA from 1 species